CUCCCACCCCAGAGACCUUUGGUCGCAGCCUGGAGAUCAGCUCAGACAAGAAAACGACCAGGGAAGGCACACAGCCCUGUGGGGAGGCGUUGGGGCAUGAGGUUGAGAGAGACAGAGUGGCCUGGCCUGGCCUGCCCUGUGAGCUGGGUGAGUUGGCACUGAUUCUGGAAGAUGGACGUGAAUGGGCGUGGUCACUUGUCGCUAGGUGGAUCACUUGAGCCCAUCUACUCGGGAGGCUGAGGCACGACAGUCGCUUGAACCCAUGAGGCGGAGGUUACAGUGAGCCGAGAUCGUACCACGGCACUCCAGCCUGAGCAACAGAGCAAGACUCGGUCAAAAAGAAAAGACGAGACAAAGAAAUAAAGUACGUUUGGGGGUUCACAGGGCAGGUCUCUAUAAUGUGAUAGAACCUCCAUUAUGUCCC